UUGGCUCUCAGCUUCAUUCUCGUUUGAAAGUUUUAUAGAAGUCACAUUCUUUUUGUCACAUUGUAUAUUAUGUUAUUUUCCAUAAAUGGACCGGACAUGCCAUAUAUAUUUUGAUUUUAUAUAUAAGCAGUAAGCUGCGGGGCCUUCAGUCCACACAAAGGAAGACGUGGGUGGCUGACUUGAUUGUGACGACAGUUGCAGCUUCCCCUUACCGCUGUGAGUUAAAAUAAACUAAACAAUAAGAACAAAACGGAAGAGUAUGAUGAGAAAAUAGACAAGGGUGGCCUCUGGCUAAACUUGCAACAGGCCUAUAGCGUAAUGCGUUUUUGUGCAGACAGAUAAAUGAGGAUGGUACUGUUUGGGAUUCUUGUCUUCACUCAAAUCUCUAAAGUGUUGUGUUUCAGUUUGUGCAGAGGUGGUGUUUUUGCAUGUGAGUGAGAGCCAGUCUGUGGAGCUGUCCUGUCCCAUCACAGAGCAGAGCACCCAUCUACAUUUGUACCACCACAACACCCAUAGUCAGAGCACCCUGCUCUCCCUAAGCCGGGGUGAACAUCCCAGGGUGAGCCCUAAACACAGAGGACGUGUGGAUCUGUAUGGUGGUCUCUACUCUGCACAAGUUAAUGUCACUUUAUUGGACCUGGAGUCUGAUGACACUGGGCUGUACCUGUGGGAGAUCACAGAGGACAACUCAUCAAAGCAUUUCAUCGAUGACCAAAAGAUCUUCUUACUGGUUGAAUCAGAAGAGAAGUUGUGCCCAUGCUCAUCUGUUUAUCCACUUGUAUUGUUCACCAUCUCUGCAGCAACUGUGCUUAUUCUGCUCAUCAUUUGUGGGCUAGGCAUAGCACAUUUUGUCAAGCCUAUAGACUGUCCACCCAAUCAGCACCAUAGGCUUCGAGGUCCUUCUUCCGUUUAUAUGGAAAUGAGCAGGAAGCCGCAGACUGUGUCCGAGAAUAUCUCUGAUCAAAUUUCACACCUGGAGGAAGUGUCGUUUCCUGUGUACGCCAACCCAAACUACAGACAACCUCAAGAGAAUUACUACGCCUGCCCCAGACAACUGAAAAUGGGAGAUUAAAAGUGGCUAAAAACAAAACGAAAAUAAUAUACAACAAUGUAACAGCCAAGAAAAAUGCUAUUUUAUUAAUAUUUGAAAGAAGCUCCAUAGUUGAUGAAAACAUUUGUUUCGGUGCAUGUCGUAACAAUCACAUUCUAUGAGGAGAAAGAUAUACAGAGAAAAAUAAAACAUUACAAGCCA